UACGGGGGGGGCAAGCGUUGUUCGGAAUUACUGGGCGUAAAGGGCUCGUAGGCGGCCAACUAAGUCAUACGUGAAAUCCCUCGGCUUAACCGGGGAACUGCGUCUGAUACUGGAUGGCUUGAGUUCGGGAGAGGGAUGCGGAAUUCCAGGUGUAGCGGUGAAAUGCGUAGAUAUCUGGAGGAACACCGGUGGCGAAGGCGGCAUCCUGGACCGAUACUGACGCUGAGGAGCGAAAGCCGGGGGAGCAAACGGG
rnacentral:rRNA from 1 species